rnacentral:rRNA from 1 species
UACGUAGGUGGCAAGCGUUGUCCGGAUUUACUGGGUGUAAAGGGCGUGCAGCCGGAGAGGCAAGUCAGAAGUGAAAGCCCGGGGCUCAACUCCGGGACUGCUUUUGAAACUGUGUUGCUAGAUUGCAGGAGAGGUAAGUGGAAUUCCUAGUGUAGCGGUGAAAUGCGUAGAUAUUAGGAGGAACACCAGUGGCGAAGGCGGCUUACUGGACUGUAAAUGACGCUGAGGCUCGAAAGCGUGGGGAGCAAACAGG